CCUACGGGUGGCAGCAGUGAGGAAUAUUGGUCAAUGGCCGGAAGGCUGAACCAGCCAUGCCGCGUGAAGGUCAGUGCCCUAUGGGCGUUAAACUUCUUUUGUGCGGGAGCAAUAAUGGUCACGUGUGGCCAGACGAGAGUACCGUACGAAUAAGCAUCGGCUAACUCCGUGCCAGCAGCCGCGGUAAUACGGGGGAUGCAAGCGUUUUCCGGAUUUAUUGGGGUUAAAGGGGUCGUAGGCUGUGAGGUAAGUCAGCGGUGAAAUGCCUCCGAUCAACGGGGUGAAGUGCCAUUGAUACUGGCUUGCUGGAAUGCGGAUGCCGUGGGAGGAAUGUGUGGUGUAGCGGUGAAAUGCAUAGAUAUCACACAGAACACCGAUUGCGAAGGCAUCUCACGAAUCCGCGAUUGACGCUGAUGCACGAAAGCGUGGGUAUCAAACAGGAUUAGAUACCCGGGUAGUC
rnacentral:rRNA from 1 species